CUCUGCAGUCCCAUCCAAGGGGGAGGAUGCCAAAACCUUGUUGUAUUGCCACAUCUUUCCCCCACACACCACCAGUGCAGAAUCCAUCACUUUGGAUGCAAUCAAGGAGAAGACGGCCCAGAAUAGAGCGGAAAGGCCCAGAUGGGCGGAGGGGUGCCCUAUAUUCAACUCAUCAGCAAUUCCGAGGAGAGUCCAGGCUCACAUAGGAGAAGGCUGGACCACUUCUUUAGAGAUGCUGAGACAUCUACGUUUCACAUUCUGAAACCAAGGGAGUUCUUGCUCACCUUCAGUGCUGACCCUGGGGAAAGCUGGAAGAGGUGAGAUCUCAUCAGGAUCCAGUCCUCAUGUCACUUGCCAAGACUUUCAUAACCUGCUUGACCUGAACCUGUCCCCAGAGGUCUGGGAAAAUUCUACCGCAUGAGUUCAGUAAUGAUGGGAAGGAUG